AGCGAACGCUGGCGGCAGGCCUAACACAUGCAAGUCGAACGAACUCUUCGGAGUUAGUGGCGGACGGGUGAGUACCACGUGGGAACGUGCCUUUAGGUUCGGAAUAACUCAGGGAAACUUGUGCUAAUACCGAAUGUGCCCUUCGGGGGAAAGAUUUAUCGCCUUUAGAGCGGCCCGCGUCUGAUUAGCUAGUUGGUGAGGUAAAGGCUCACCAAGGCGACGAUCAGUAGCUGGUCUGAGAGGAUGAUCAGCCACAUUGGGACUGAGACACGGCCCAAACUCCUACGGGAGGCAGCAGUGGGGAAUCUUGCGCAAUGGGCGAAAGCCUGACGCAGCCAUGCCGCGUGAAUGAUGAAGGUCUUAGGAUUGUAAAAUUCUUUCACCGGGGACGAUAAUGACGGUACCCGGAGAAGAAGCCCCGGCUAACUUCGUG
rnacentral:rRNA from 1 species